AAACCAGCACCUCAAGUGGUCAGGAUGAUUAUUGGGCCUAAAGCAUCCGUAGCCUGCUCUGUAAGUUUUCGGUUAAAUCUGUACGCUCAACGUACAGGCUGUCGGGAAUACUGCAGAGCUAGGGAGUGGGAGAGGUAGACGGUACUCGGGAGGAAGUGGUAAAAUGCUUUGAUCUCUCGAUGACCACCUGUGGCGAAGGCGGUCUACCAGAACACGUCCGACGGUGAGGGAUGAAAGCUGGGGGAGCAAACCGGAUUAGAAACCCGUGUAGUCC
rnacentral:rRNA from 1 species